UACGAACCGUCCAAACGUUAUUCGGAAUCACUGGGCUUAAAGAGUCCGUAGGCGGCUUGGAAAGUAGGGUGUGAAAUCCCACGGCUUAACCGUGGAACUGCGCUCUAAACUACCAAGCUUGAGGGAGAUAGAGGUAAGCGGAACUGAUGGUGGAGCGGUGAAAUGCGUUGAUAUCAUCAGGAACACCGGAGGCGAAGGCGGCUUACUGGGUCUUUUCUGACGCUGAGGGACGAAAGCCAGGGUAGCGAACGGG
rnacentral:rRNA from 1 species